CAACAAAGCAAUAAGCUGGUAUUCUAUCAAUUAUACAUUUAACACCUUUACAUGGAGUGAAAAUACUUUUCCAUGAUGUCAACCUCUUAUAAAAGGAUGUAAAAGGAUCUUUCUAAAGGGGGCCGUUGGAGAUCGUGACACAAAUAUGGCUUGUGUUUUUCCGAGGCCAGCCAAAGACUCCCUGGAGUUAAUUUACCCCGGCGUAGCAGCCAACCCCUGCUGUGGUGACUCACCUUCGCCACCACAGAGAUGAGGUUCAGAGAGAGACUUGGCAAAAAGAAAAAGUACUCUCCUUGAGAGAUUAACCCGUUGGGCAAAGAAAGGCAUGGGGGAGGCAGACUGAGAGCUCGGCACAGUAGGAACGCAGCUAGCAGGCUCAUUAGAGGGAACCGUCCACCGCCUGCGAGCAUCUCCACCCACGCCGAGAGAACUUUGCAAAGGUGGACCAUACAUUGUUGUCUCCUGUGGCACGGCGCUACAGAUCCUUUCAGACAGAAUGACCCAUUUUGCCGAUUUGAAAACAACUGGGGUUUUCUGAGCUGCAGCGUUGCCAUGGACCCUUGUGUUGCACGCUUCGCACGGCUAAAAAUCCAGCAGGACUUUCUCCUCCAGACGCGUCGCAGCAGCAUGAAGCUGUCGAGCUUCUGCUGCCUCUGCCGCUGACAGAUUACAGUCAUUAUUUGCACAACUGCAGGAAAGGCGCUUGUCAGGGAAACAUGUUGGUGAAACAAUCCGGCCUACAGUGUUCUGAAAGGUCCAUUACUGCAUUCACUUAAAUCCGUCCCACUACCUUGUUAUCGCACUUCAUUUUACUUCACACCCUGAAGCACUUAAGGCCUCGCUUCUUCUGUUUCUCCCCCCCGGCUAUGAAGGUCAUAUUGUCAAAGCAACAAUGACAAAGAAGGAAUUACAUCGGUGGGAAAAUUACCGAUGCUGAAUCUCACUUUGCAACUCAGCAUGCGUUGAUUCGCAUUAACUGAUUACACGUCCCCCCCGUUUGCAUCGAUUUGUCCACGAGUGCAGAUUGUGAGAGAGUGCGAGCUAUGGACACUAUGGACAGAAUGGGAGGGAGGCGCUGGUGAUGACUAGCGCCCCCACCUGCUCGCGAGGACUGAGGCCACAGCGCCGCUCGUCUCGCGCCGGGGCUCUCUGGUGAGACUCGUCUCGCUCUGCCUCCUCGGCUCUGCUGCAAAAGACGAGGGACACAUUUGCACAGAUUAGCCCGCGCGCUAAUCCUCCUGCCGUCCAGACUGGCGGGCGGCUGACCUUCCCGGGUCACGUGGCCGCCAUCUGGAUCGCCGGGAGUGAAGCGCCAACGCUGCCGGGCAAAGUGCGAGAGGCGAGAGGCUCCACGGGGCAGGUGAGCGCUACUCGGGGCGCCUCUUGUUUGGACGACUUUGUGAGUGAAUUAUGAUGACCUCGGCGGUGGAGAUGUCCGCCACACCGGCAGAGCCAGUUAAAUCCUCCUCUCUUCAUUCCACUGACAUGAGGAAUCAGUGCGGACGUCUUCGGAGACUUGAUAGCAGCGGAGUGUCGCUGGUGAUUGUCCAAACAUCGUCCGAGACGUGGGAAAAGGUCUCGCCGGUGAUGGGAUUCACGUCACCCUCUGAAGAGACUACAGAGGCUGUGAGAAAAAGAAAAGUAAGACGUGUGCUGUGUUUAUUAUUAGCAUUUGCCUCGCGCGGGUUCCACAGACCUGUUGCUGACUCGCAGCCCGGGGGAAGCGUUUUCUGUGAUUUUACACUCCGCAAGCCAAGAUAAAACAACACAUCCAUCUAAGGCCCGGGAGUCCUUUCUUCCCUCAAAGGACACCAAACCCACGAGGGAACGCCUCGAUAAUUACCACGUAUAAAUUGUGCUGGCGAGAGAACAAAAAAAAACAACAACAUAUGAAAGAGCCCGGUGUGUGUUUUAGGCCAAGCAUCAGUAAAUCACGUGGGACUCAAUGAGGAUUAAUGGGUGAUUAAUGGCGG
ensembl:lncRNA